ACCCCUGACAAGUGAGAAGCUUAGAACUGUUGGAAAGCAGGUUACUGUAAAUGGCGGAAACCUGAAAUUAAAACAGUAAAUCUGGAAAUUCUCAAAAUCUGGAAAUUGUGGUGACACACUUCAAAUCUCCAAGAAAGAGAAAAUAAAACAACGGCAUGAACGAUGGCUUCAGAAAAUUGAGAUGAUCAAACUGGCAGAACAGAAGAAGAAAGC